ACUGGCUCUGAUUCUAAGCGAGGUGUUCUGUUGUGCUUGAUCUAACCAUGUGGUUCCAAGCUAUGAGUAAAACAUGGUUUCGUCAAGCACCAUGGUACGCCUUGUGUCUUUCUGCAGCAUGUCA
rnacentral:pre_miRNA from 17 species